CGAACGCUGGCGGCGUGGAUAAGACAUGCAAGUCGAACGGAAUGCCAUGAGUAGCAAUACAAGUGGUGUUUAGUGGCGAACGGGUGCGUAACACGUGGAUACAUUCCGGGAAGCGGGGGAUAGCCCAGGGAAACUUGGAUUAAUACCGCAUGUGAUCGAAAGAUCAAAGACGGGGACCGCAAGGCCUGUCACUUCCCGAUUGGUCCGCGGCCUAUCAGCUAGUUGGCGGGGUAAAAGCCCACCAAGGCGACGACGGGUAGCUGGUCUGAGAGGACGACCAGCCACACUGGAACUGAGACACGGUCCAGAUACCUACGGGUGGCAGCAGUCGAGAAUCUUUCACAAUGGGGGCAACCCUGAUGGUGCAACGGCCGCGUGGAGGAUGACGGUCUUCGGAUUGUAAACUCCUGUCAUCCGGGAGCAAGACCUGGCCGAUGAACUAGUGGACAGGGUUGAUAGUACCGGAAGGGGAAGGACGGCUAACGUUCGUGC
rnacentral:rRNA from 1 species